CAUGUGUGUCCCGGAUAGAUCGCCAUCUCCUCUCCGUUUCCUCCGCGUGUCCUUCUCUCCAUGGUUGUGGAAGGAUCGCGAGAAGCUCCGUGGUUUCUCGACCUGUGCCGCCUGCCGCUUCUCCACCGCCCCACCCACAUGCUGCCGCUCAACCGUCGUGCCGCCUAUAAAAGGCCCUCUUCCCCAUGCCAUCCCCAUCUUUCAACCAUGCCCGUCGUUCGCCACAAUCGUGCCAGGAUGGGACUCCACCUGCUUUCACGUGCACGGAUGAAGGAUACCCUGCUCUAGCUUCGAUCGGCUCUGGGGAUCAGGAGCAGCAGCAGCCGGACGACGCCACAGCGAGCAGCGCAACAACGGCGGACCCGGCAGAGUGGAGUCGUGUCCGGCGAGAAGCGGGCUCAGCAGGGCGCCACGCCGUGCGGCCAUGUCGGAAGAUUCCGUGGAUUGCCAAAGGGAAGGAACCAGGAGGAGAGGACACUUCAGAUGGUGAGAGCUGACCACGGUGCGUGGGGCCGACGAUGGGCACGGCGAGCAGCGACAACGCAGUGUGUUGUUCGUGUACAAAGGAAGUCCGCAAGGAGUAGCGACCAGAAGCAACACAAGACGACAGGAGCGACACGAUGCUCUCACCUCAGGAGUUCUAUUGCUGAAUGGUGGCAAACCAGGAGGAGGUGGCGGCAGAAAGUGACGAUGACGGUGGGUGUGAUCCGCGUCACAGUGGCGGUCCCUGGCAGAGCUCAUGCCGUUUGAGCUCGACGACGCGACGGCUGCGGCCUCUGUGUGUCAAUCACCACCACCUUGAUAUUAGUAUAGAAACUCAAUAUUAUUGUAUUUGUUCUUCGUAUGAGUGGCCAACCCUAUAUGAAUUCAGGUUUGGGGUUCUUGCUUCAUAUCCUGUUCGAAACUUGGAAUUUUUAUUGUCAAGCAUAGGGUUACUUUCACGGUCGCCUGCAUAUUUUUCUGGUGGCUUACAAGGUAAAACACACAUCAUGGAAUACAGGGAGAACACAGAUUUGUUUUGCUCUUUGUACUUCUGUUAGAUAGGCCAUACCGCAGGGAGAAUGUGGAUCUACUUUGAUCUUCUUACUUUUAUUAGAUAGGGCACAUUCUGUUUUCAUUAAUGUCUUCGUUACUGACGGUACUGAUAUGUAAAUUUAACAUUGAUGUUUAAUGGUGUGGCAUGAUUUACAGAAAUUGGUAUUUCGAUCCCUUGGGAUGUUGCAGGUGCUGACAACCUGAUACCGUUAGAAUUGGCCCUCAAAAUGCAACCAAGAUUAGAGCUGCAUGCAAGCGAUUUGCAGUUUGCAGUCCUCAAAACUAAUGUGGCCUGAAGGAGUGCCUACCUCGGUCUAUGCAAGAACUUUUUUACUUUAUCUAUUUUAACCUGAACCUGAUGAUGAUACAGAGAAAGAAUUAUGUCUGAGGUAGACAUGUUAGCUUAUAAGUAUAUUCACCCACAAUCCAUUGGACUGCACAUGAAGAAUGUCAUUAAAUAAGAGGUGGAAGGUCUAAUCGGCAAGACUCCUUGUGAAGACAACUCUAUCCAAACAAUCGGACAUUUUUUUAGCCGAUGUGCCAAGACGGACAAGGACACCAAGCGGGGAGGGUCAUCGCCCAACACAUGCUCUCCUUUUUGCAUUUGCAACAAAGAAGAGAAGAGGUGGAGCUAGCAUACCUGCAGAUGGGCUGGUGACGGUGAGGUCGCCCGCAAGUACACCCAACUCUGGCUGAGGAUGUCGGCUCCUGCUUCCUGUGGUUAUGAAAUAUGUUGCUUUGUGGCUAUUGAUUAAAGAAUGGAUAGUCAAGUUAGCUAAGUUCUUCCGGGAAAAUUCAUUGGAUUUUGAAUAGCUGAUAUAUAUGUCAAUUGUCAUGUAACGUAUACGUCGUACUUUUGGAAUACUUACUCUUCCAUUUUUGUGGAGGUGUGAUGUAGACAAGUAUUCAGCCAUGCAUCAUGAAUAUAAUUAAUGAAGUUUCUAUCCCUUUCGGUUGUACAAUCAUCCAUCUGGCUCAUAUGUAUAGAGUUGUCGCCUUACCGAGUUAGCUUUAUUAUAUAAUGCCUGCUCUUUGCUAAAUAUUCUAUUGCAAGUAUCAAGGAAAAUUGAUGUUGCGCCAGGAGAGGUUCCUACAAAAUCAAAUUGUUUUAAGCGAUGGUCUGCUACACCUUUGGGAGCUAAUGGAUGGUUCUUCUUUCAUUUUUUUUUCUCAGUAACCAAUAGUGUUUAAUAAUGCAUUGAAUUUAUAUAGUAACUAAGCUGAAUAGCGGAAGCUUUUCGGUCAAUAUAUGUUAGAGAAAACUAUAAUGUGUUAUUGUUCUUCGAUUGCAAAAUUCCAACAUAUACACAUGACGUAUCGACGGGGCGCGGCGUGCCGCCGCGCGGGUAUGGCUAAUAAAUACAAGUUGUUAACAACAACAGAAUUUUUUGGCUCUCUAUAUCCUUAUGAACAAGGGUUUGCAUAAUUUUGGGCAUUCCUUUGCCUGUACCAAAUAGCUAUUGUAUAUAGUCGCAAUCGUUAUAAAAUGGGAGCUAAAUAAAUAACAAUGGAAUUUUAUUAGCUCUCUAUGUCCUUACAAACGAGGGAUUGCGUGAAUUUGGGAUUCCAUUUGCUUGUAGCGAAUAGCUUUUGUAUUUAGACACAAUCAAUAUAAGAAGAACACUCAGCUUUAUUCCAUUGCACUCAACCCUUUCUGCAAUCUUCAGAAGUAAAAAUGCAGCUUGGAGCAAAACGGGGGAAAUUGGAUAAAGAUGCAGGGCCGCAGGAGCAGAACGGUGCAGCCGAUGAAACCAAUGCGGACGAAGAUUAACUUCUCUGAUCUUGUGGUAGGCUGAACCUGAAUCACAUUAAUGGUUGAACUAUCUUGUGAUCCUUUGUCCUGAAACUAUAACAUAAUGACUUAUGUUGACAUUUUGGUAGUUAUUUGAAUCAUGAAUCCAUGAUGCUAAGCUGAACAAUUCCUGGAGCAUCUGCCGCGCGUUGUGCUCUACGUUGCACCAUUGUCUGGCAUUUGUUCUUUUUACAGCACUGGCUAACGGUUAGCCGUUAUCUCUUAUUUGCUUCUAUGCUUGCUUUGCUAUGGAUGACAGGUGGGGCUCAUGACGUUGGGUGGGUAAGUUCUUUCCUGGACCAUGAAUAUGUGCAGAUGGUGAUUUAAGUUUUGUACAAGGAGGCACACUGGAGGGCAGUAGCCAGAGCAUCACUUGAUAACUAGCCUUGCAAAAAAAAGCAAGGAUUGUGGAGAUUGAUGGACCAGGUGAUUGUGGUCGCAUUCCAUCAUGCUCUUGACUGUUGACUUCGAGGUCCAGUCGCAGCUGCUUGUCGCUAAGGAUCUGGCAAGAAUUAAUUGGAUUAUAGUCCAUGUCUGGUCAUGCCUUGAAUGGCGAAGGGCCGCCCACAAGAAUGAGCCCUAUUGAGAAGGAGCUAUUGACCAUGAUCGUUUGAAUUCAAUGAUCCCCACUCAAGCUGUACAAGUAGAUAAUGCAGUAUCCCUCCCCCCUCUCAGCAAAUCUGCCAUCCAAUUCUUCUCAUAUAGCCAUGCUGAUAUCAAGGGAACAAGCCGUCCCCGUUACCUCAUGAUGCGAGAUGAAAUAAUCUCUUACAAAGAACAUCUGAUGCAUGCACUAACUAAUUAUCACUCUUCUUUAUCAGCUCUAUCUCAUCCCGGAGAAGCUUUGUAAAGAAGCAGCAUGGAAAACAAGAAGCAAAAAAGUUAAUUAUAAGGACGGUGAAAUGCAAUCUUAGUUACCAGAGAAGCUGGCAAUCUACAUGAUGCAUCUAAACUGGUUUCAUGACUUUCUUUUAGCCUAUGAACUUACCAUCAAUGCAAUAUACAGCGCUAUGUAUGAAUUAUUUCCUUAUCUUUAAAGGAUAUCGGUUUGAAAGCUUGGUUUGCUCUCGGCCUUUGCGCCAUUGGCGCAACGGGUCAUCUAGUAUUAUAAUUGUUGCAGUAU